GAUGAACGCUAGCGGCAGGCCUAAUACAUGCAAGUCGAACGGUGUCUUCGGACAUAGUGGCGCACGGGUGCGUAACACGUAUGCAACCUACCUUACAUUGGGGGAUAGCCUUUCGAAAGGGAGAUUAAUACCGCAUAAGACAGUAGCUGGGCAUCCAGCAGCUGUUAAAGAUUUAUCGAUGUAAGCUGGGCAUGCGUCCAAUUAGCUAGUUGGUGAGGUAACGGCUCACCAAGGCAAUGAUUGGUAGGGGAACUGAGAGGUCAAUCCCCCACACUGGAACUGAGAUACGGGCCAGACUCCUACGGGAGGCAGCAGUAGGGAAUAUUGGGCAAUGGACGCAAGUCUGACCCAGCCAUGCCGCGGGCAGGAUGAAGGCGUUAUGCGUUGUAAACUGCUUUUAUACAGGAAGAAACGACUCUUGCGAGAGGCAUUGACGGUACUGUAUGAAUAAGCACCGGCUAACUCCGUGCCAGCCGCCGCCGUAAUAC
rnacentral:rRNA from 1 species